rnacentral:rRNA from 1 species
UACAGAGGGUGCAAACGUUGUUCGGAAUCACUGGGCGUAAAGCGUGUGUAGGCGGCCAUACAAGUCGGAUGUGAAAGCCCUGGGCUCAAUCCAGGAAGUGCACCCGAAACUGUGUGGCUUGAGUACUGGAGAGGUUGGUGGAAUUCUCGGUGUAGAGGUGAAAUUCGUAGAUAUCGAGAGGAACACCGGUGGCGAAGGCGGCCAACUGGACAGAUACUGACGCUGAGACACGAAAGCGUGGGGAGCAAACAGG